rnacentral:lncRNA from 1 species
UCAGAUCUAAAUGCUCUAAGUUGAUGCUUUUGCUUCAUACCUGAGCUAUUGGAUCUUGAUUAGCACUCGGGGACCCUCCCAACUGGUCUUCUUCAAUGGUGCCGUUUGAUAUCCCGUGAUCUUUAGCAUUAUCUGGUUAUUCUACAAGAACUCAAAGCAAUCUCAGGUUCUCGAAGUUAAACAAUUAAGGAUCCUUAAUCCUUAUUAUCCAUUAAAGUUUUACUUAUGGUUAUCCUGAUUAAAGGUUAGGAUCCUAACUUGGAUCCUCAGGUAUGAUCCUUAACUAUUUUUAAUUUCAUUCAUUAUUCAUUUGAAUAACCCUUAGACCUUGACAACUGAACCUGUGAUCCUUAAAAUAAACUACUUUGAAAAUUUUCGAUUAUAGGAUAUUUGAUCCAGGAUCAUAUCCUAAAUUUCUUAAACAUAAUUUGCUCAACUUUUCUUACUCAAACAAACAUGUAUCAAAACAAUUGGAAAUUAAAAGGAUAACAAUACGUGAUAAGCCAAAAAGAUUAGAGUUAUUUUAUUAACAAAGGUUUGAAACACUUCAAAGUUGUCAAAAUUACCAACCCACGUUUCUACCAGCAAAACGUGGCCCGUCCACAUGGGUUGGCAAAGGGUGUCCAUUGUUUGUGCGGUCAUAGCAUGCAGGUAAGUAAAAGGCGGCAGGAUCACAAUGGCUUCAUCCCCCAAACAGAGGAUCCCUCCACCAUUUGCAAUCCUACCUAUUGUCUGAAGGAUCCUGGAUCCUUAAUCCUAAAACUAUUGUUCAAAGUUACAGACCAUAAUUGUUUAAAAACAUCAACAACCAC